rnacentral:rRNA from 1 species
AACGAACGCUGGCGGCGUGCCUAACACAUGCAAGUCGAGCGAGAAAGCCCGCAAGGGUGAGUAAAGCGGCGAACGGGUGAGUAACACGUAGGUAACCUACCUUUGAGACCGGGACAACCUGUCGAAAGACGGGCUAAUACCGGAUAAGACCACGUCCUCUUCGGAGGAUGAGGUAAAAGUUGGCCUCUGUAUACACGCUAACACUUAUUGACGGGCCUGCGCACCAUUAGCUAGUUGGUAAGGUAACGGCUACCAAGGCUACGAUGGUUAGCUGAUCUGAGAGGAUGAUCAGCCACACUGGAACUGAAACACGGUCCAGACUCCUACGGGAGGCAGCAGUGGGGAAUUUUGCGCAAUGGGGGAAACCCUGACGCAGCAACGCCGCGUGAGUGAUGAAGGCC